rnacentral:rRNA from 1 species
CUACGGGGGGCUCCAGCUAAGAAUCUUCCGCAAUGGACGAAAGUCUGACGGAGCGACGCCGCGUGAACGAUGAAGGCCGUGAGGUUGUAAAGUUCUUUUCGGGAGGAGGAAUAAGGUUUGUAGGAAAUGACAGACUGAUGACGUUAAUCCCGGAAUAAGCCCCGGCUAACUACGUGCCAGCAGCCGCGGUAACACGUAGGGGGCAAGCGUUGUUCGGAAUCAUUGGGCGUAAAGGGCGUGCAGGCGGUGUUGCAAGUCUGGCGUGAAAGAUCUCGGCUUAACCGAGGGAACGCGCUGGAACUGUAAUACUAGAGUACAGGAGGGGACAGUGGAAUUCCAGGUGUAGGGGUGAAAUCUGUAGAUAUCUGGAAGAACACCGGUGGCGAAGGCGAAUGUCUGGCCAUGUACUGACGCUGAGACGCGAAGGUGCGGGGAGCAAACAGGAUUAGAUACCCUAGUAGUC